rnacentral:tRNA from 1 species
UCCCUGGUGGACUAGUGGCUAGCAUGCGGUGCUCUCACUGCCAUGGGCUGGGUUCAAGUCCCAGUCAGGGAA